rnacentral:rRNA from 1 species
UACGAAGGGGGCUAGCGUUGUUCGGAAUUACUGGGCGUAAAGGGCGCGUAGGCGGUGUGUCAAGUCAGGCGUGAAAGCCCCGGGCUCAACCUGGGAACCGCGCUUGAGACUGGCACGCUCGAGUUUGGGAGAGGAUGGUGGAAUUCCCAGUGUAGAGGUGAAAUUCGUAGAUAUUGGGAAGAACACCGAUGGCGAAGGCAGCGAUCUGGACCGACACUGACGCUGAGGCGCGAAAGCGUGGGGAGCAAACAGG